rnacentral:lncRNA from 1 species
UGGAAGGACGCAGGAAAAGGCUGCGCAGAGUGCAGGUGGAGGAGGCAGCCGAAGAGAACAUUCCAUCUGUUCCCAUAGAAGUAUUCUGCUAGCCUGGAAAUUGGAGGGGGACCAAGGAAAAACCCUGAGAUCCUGGCAUGGAACUCGUUGCAUGGAAUCAGCUAGGCAUCCGUUAUCUAAAUGUGAGUAUGGAAUUCUAAGAAGUGCUUAGAAAAGAUGUUUAAA